GAUUCGGUAGCUCAGUUGGUAGAGCGUCGGACUCUUAAUCCGAUGUGCGUAGGUUCGAGUCCUACCCGAAUCACCG
rnacentral:tRNA from 1 species